AGUGAACGCUGGCGGUAGGCCUAACACAUGCAAGUCGAACGGCAGCACAGUAAGAGCUUGCUCUUACGGGUGGCGAGUGGCGGACGGGUGAGGAAUACAUCGGAAUCUACUUUUUCGUGGGGGAUAACGUAGGGAAACUUACGCUAAUACCGCAUACGACCUACGGGUGAAAGCAGGGGAUCUUCGGACCUUGCGCGAUUGAAUGAGCCGAUGUCGGAUUAGCUAGUUGGCGGGGUAAAGGCCCACCAAGGCGACGAUCCGUAGUUGGUCUGAGAGGAUGAUCAGCCACACUGGAACUGAGACACGGUCCAGACUCCUACGGGAGGCAGCAGUGGGGAAUAUUGGACAAUGGGCUCAAGCCUGAUCCAGCCACACCGCGUGGGUGAAGAAGGCCUUCGGGUUGUAAAGCCCUUUUGUUGGGAAAGAAAAGCAGCAGGUUAAUACCCCGCUGUUCUGACGGUACCCAAAGAAUAAGCACCGGCUAACUUCGUG
rnacentral:rRNA from 1 species